AAGCCUCGGAUGGGACACGUCCAAUAAUUUCUCAUCAAAACUUUUCUAUCCUAGAAUCCGUUGCAAGAAAAUCUUCGAAGUCGUUCCGGGAAAAUGUCGGGUCGUGGAAAGGGAGGCAAGGGUUUGGGAAAGGGAGGAGCCAAGAGGCACAGGAAGGUACUAAGAGAUAAUAUUCAAGGCAUCACCAAGCCUGCAAUUCGUCGUUUGGCUCGCAGAGGUGGUGUGAAGAGGAUCAGUGGCUUGAUCUAUGAGGAAACUCGUGGAGUCCUGAAGAUCUUCUUGGAGAACGUGAUCCGUGAUGCUGUGACUUAUACUGAGCAUGCCAGGAGAAAGACAGUUACUGCGAUGGAUGUGGUUUAUGCGCUCAAGAGGCAGGGAAGGACUCUGUAUGGUUUUGGGGGUUAGGUUUUGUCUGUUUGUUUUCUGGCGGGGGUUUUAGGAUUGUAGUGUAUGGGAUUGUAGAUCUUUUCUCUAGAUCUGGUUUUUCUAGAGAUUAAAUUUGAAAUUACUGUAAUUGGCAUCUUUAUCUGAAGUAAUAGAAUCUAAUUUUCUGGGAGAAUUUUGAAAUUACUGUAAUUGGCAGUUCUUCUUGUCUUUGUUUUGUUGUUUGGAUACUUGUCGACUGUAGACCGUUGAGGAAAUGGUGGUAGAAGAUUUAUCAGAUCCUUCAUAAAUGGUCAUCAUAUUAAAACGAUUCAUUGUGCUUGUUUGCGCAUAAUAUAUGCGUCUUCUAACUAGGUUGUUCUGAAAGCAAUGUGUUUGUUGAAAUGACCUUUAGUUUGGAUGUUUGGAUUUCGUUUGCCUCGUGCAGUUAUAGAAGACAUAGAACUUUCAACUAUUUUGUGCCAGUUCAGUGUGUCAGAAU
rnacentral:misc_RNA from 1 species